rnacentral:rRNA from 1 species
UACGGAGGGUGCGAGCGUUGUCCGGAAUCAUUGGGCGUAAAGGGCGCGUAGGUGGCCCCUCAAGCGUGCGGUGAAAGUCAGGGGCUCAACCCCUGAUCGGCCGUGCGAACUGGGGAGCUUGAGCACUGUAGAGGCAGGCGGAAUUCCGGGUGUAGCGGUGGAAUGCGUAGAGAUCCGGAAGAACACCGGUGGCGAAGGCGGCCUGCUGGGCAGUUUUGCUGACACUGAGGCGCGACGAGCGUGGGGAGCAAACAGG